GACGAACGCUGGCGGCGUGCUUAACACAUGCAAGUCGAACGGAAAGGCCCUGCUUUUGUGGGGUGCUCGAGUGGCGAACGGGUGAGUAACACGUGAGUAACCUGCCCUUGACUUUGGGAUAACUUCAGGAAACUGGGGCUAAUACCGGAUAGGAGCUCCUGCUGCAUGGUGGGGGUUGGAAAGUUUCGGCGGUUGGGGAUGGACUCGCGGCUUAUCAACUUGUUGGUGGGGUAGUGGCUUACCAAGGCUUUGACGGGUAGCCGGCCUGAGAGGGUGACCGGCCACAUUGGGACUGAGAUACGGCCCAGACUCCUACGGGAGGCAGCAGUGGGGAAUAUUGCACAAUGGGCGGAAGCCUGAUGCAGCAACGCCGCGUGCGGGAUGACGGCCUUCGGGUUGUAAACCGCUUUCGCCUGUGACGAAGCGUGAGUGACGGUACUGGGUAAAGAAGCACCGGCUAACUACGUG
rnacentral:rRNA from 1 species